rnacentral:rRNA from 1 species
AGGACGAACGCUGGCGGCGUGCUUAACACAUGCAAGUCGAACGGUGAAGGAGAGCUUGCUCUCUGGAUCAGUGGCGAACGGGUGAGUAACACGUGAGUAACCUGCCCUUGACUCUGGGAUAAGCGUUGGAAACGACGUCUAAUACCGGAUACGAGCUUCAGUCGCAUGGCUAGGAGCUGGAAAGAUUUCGGCAAGGAUGGACUCGCGGCCUAUCAGCUAGUUGGUGAGGUAAUGGCUCACCAAGGCGACGACGGGUAGCCGGCCUGAGAGGGUGACCGGCACACUGGGACUGAGACACGGCCCAGACUCCGUACGGGAGGCAGCGAGGUGGGAAUACGUGCACGAAGUGGGCGACAAGCCUGAUGCAGCAACGCCGCGGUGGGGACGAGGCCGUUCGGUAGUAACCGUCGUUUAGAGGAAGAAGACGAAAGUCGAACGGUACCGUAGAC